GGACAAUUCAGGCCUUCUGUUUCUUUUUUACUCUGUUUUGGUGAGUUAUAUUUUUUAAGGAAUUUGUACAUUGUACCAAAGUUUUCAAAUAUAUUUCCAUAAAGUUGUUUGUAAUGUUCUCUUAUUUUUUGAUCUCUGUUGUAUUUUUAGUUAUGAACUUUUUCCAUUCCUGAUAUUGUUUGCAGCAUAUCUUUCUCCUUGGCCAUAGGUAAUUGUGGUCUCUAUUACUCCAUCCCGGUUAGAAGCAGAAGCAGAAGUAUGGUUUUUAAUUCCCAAACGCGGUAUUUUAAAAUUUAUUUUUGUUAUUAAUUUCUAACAUAAUCAUGUGUCUAAUAAGUCUAACACUUUAU
rnacentral:lncRNA from 1 species